CACAUGCAAGUCGAGCGGCAGCACGGGUACUUGUACCUGGUGGCGAGCGGCGGACGGGUGAGUAAUGCCUAGGAAUCUGCCUGGUAGUGGGGGAUAACGCUCGGAAACGGACGCUAAUACCGCAUACGUCCUACGGGAGAAAGCAGGGGACCUUCGGGCCUUGCGCUAUCAGAUGAGCCUAGGUCGGAUUAGCUAGUUGGUGAGGUAAUGGCUCACCAAGGCGACGAUCCGUAACUGGUCUGAGAGGAUGAUCAGUCACACUGGAACUGAGACACGGUCCAGACUCCUACGGGAGGCAGCAGUGGGGAAUAUUGGACAAUGGGCGAAAGCCUGAUCCAGCCAUGCCGCGUGUGUGAAGAAGGUCUUCGGAUUGUAAAGCACUUUAAGUUGGGAGGAAGGGCAGUUACCUAAUACGUAUCUGUUUUGACGUUACCGACAGAAUAAGCACCGGCUAACUCUGUGCCAGCAGCCGCGGUGAUACAGAGGGUGCAAGCGUUAAUCGGAAUUACUGGGCGUAAAGCGCGCGUAGGUGGUUUGUUAAGUUGGAUGUGAAAUCCCCGGGCUCAACCUGGGAACUGCAUUCAAAACUGACAAGCUAGAGUAUGGUAGAGGGUGGUGGAAUUUCCUGUGUAGCGGUGAAAUGCGUAGAUAUAGGAAGGAACACCAGUGGCGAAGGCGACCACCUGGACUGAUACUGACACUGAGGUGCGAAAGCGUGGGGAGCAAAC
rnacentral:rRNA from 1 species